rnacentral:rRNA from 1 species
UACGAAGGGGACUAGCGUUGUUCGGAAUCACUGGGCGUAAAGCGCACGUAGGCGGAUGUGUCAGUCAGGGGUGAAAUCCCGGGGCUCAACCUCGGAACUGCCUUUGAUACAGCACGUCUCGAGUCCGGAAGAGGUGGGUGGAAUUCCUAGUGUAGAGGUGAAAUUCGUAGAUAUUAGGAAGAACACCGGUGGCGAAGGCGGCGACCUGGGUCGAGACUGACGCUGAUGCGCGAAAGCGUGGGGAGCAAACAGG